rnacentral:snRNA from 1 species
GCUCGCUUCAGCCAAACAUAUGCUAAAAUUGGAAGGAUACAGAGAAGUUUAGUAUGGUCCCUGUGCAAGGAUGACAUGCAAAUUCAUGAAGCAUUCCAUAUUUUU